rnacentral:rRNA from 1 species
CACACCACCCGUCACACCAUGGAAGUCUGCUGCACCAGAAGUAGGUAGUCUAACCGCAAGGGGGGCGCCUACCACGGUGUGGCCGAUGACUGGGGUG